CGGGUGAGUAACGCGUGAGGAACCUGCCUCAAAGAGGGGGACAACAGUUGGAAACGACUGCUAAUACCGCAUAAGCCCACGGUGCCGCAUGGCACAGAGGGAAAAGGAGCAAUCCGCUUUGAGAUGGCCUCGCGUCCGAUUAGCUAGUUGGUGAGGUAAUGGCCCACCAAGGCGACGAUCGGUAGCCGGACUGAGAGGUUGAACGGCCACAUUGGGACUGAGACACGGCCCAG
rnacentral:rRNA from 1 species